rnacentral:rRNA from 1 species
GAUGAACGCUGGCGGCGUGCCUAAUACAUGCAAGUCGAGCGAACAGACGAGGAGCUUGCUCCUCUGACGUUAGCCGCGGACGGGUGAGUAACACGUGGAUAACCUCCCUAUCAGACUGGUAUAACUUCGGAACACCGGCGCUAAUCCCGGAUAAUAUAUUGAACCGCAUGGUUCAAUAGUGAAAGACGGUUUUGCUGUCACUUAUAGAUGGAUCCGCGCGGCAUUGUCUAGUUGGUAAGGUACCGGCUUACCAAGGCGACGAUGCGUAGCCGACCUGUGAGGGGGAUCGGCCACACGGGAACGGGGACACGGACAAGACUACUAAGGGAGGGAGCAGUAGGGAAUCUGCCGCAAUGGGGGAAAGCAUGACGGAGUAACGGGGCGUGAGUGAUGAAGGUCUUGGGAGCGGGAAACUGUGUUAUGAGGGAAGAACAAAUGUGGAAGGAACUAAGCACUGCGUGACGGUAACUAAUCAGAAAGCCACGGCUAACUACGUG